rnacentral:rRNA from 1 species
CCUACGGGAGGCAGCAGUGGGGAAUAUUGCACAAUGGGGGAAACCCUGAUGCAGCAACGCCGCGUGAAGGAAGACGGUUUUCGGAUUGUAAACUUCUGUUCUUAGUGAAGAAUAAUGACGGUAGCUAAGGAGCAAGCCACGGCUAACUACGUGCCAGCAGCCGCGGUAAUACGGAGGAUGCGAGCGUUAUCCGGAUUUAUUGGGUUUAAAGGGUGCGCAGGCGGCCUGUUAAGUCAGCGGUAAAAGCCCGGGGCUCAACCCCGGCGAGCCGUUGAAACUGGCGGGCUGGAGUUGGAGAGAAGUACGCGGAAUGCGCGGUGUAGCGGUGAAAUGCUUAGAUAUCGCGCAGAACCCCGAUUGCGAAGGCAGCGUACCGGCUCCACACUGACGCUGAGGCACGAAAGCGUGGGUAUCGAACAGGAUUAGAUACCCGAGUAGUC